UACGUAGGGCGCAAGCGUUAUCCGGAAUCACUGGGCGUAAAGCGCACGUAGGCGGAUGUGUCAGUCAGGGGUGAAAUCCCGGGGCUCAACCUCGGAACUGCCUCUGAUACAGCACAUCUUGAGUCCGGAAGAGGUGGGUGGAAUUCCUAGUGUAGAGGUGAAAUUCGUAGAUAUUAGGAAGAACACCGGUGGCGAAGGCGGCCCACUGGUCCGGUACUGACGCUGAGGUGCGAAAGCGUGGGGAGCAAACAGG
rnacentral:rRNA from 1 species